rnacentral:rRNA from 1 species
GACGAACGCUGGCGGCGUGCUUAACACAUGCAAGUCGAACGGAAAGGCCCUGCUUUUGUGGGGUGCUCGAGUGGCUAACGGGUGAGUAACACGUGAGUAACCUGCCCUUGACUUUGGGAUAACUUCAGGAAACUGGGGCUAAUACCGGAUAGGAGCUCCUGCUGCAUGGUGGGGGUUGGAAAGUUUCGGCGGUUGGGGAUGGACUCGCGGCUUAUCAGCUUGUUGGUGGGGUAGUGGCUUACCAAGGCUUUUACGGGUAGCCGGCCUGAGAGGGUGACCGGCCACAUUGGGACUGAGAUACGGCCCAGACUCCUACGGGAGGCAGCAGUGGGGAAUAUUGCACAAUGGGCGGAAGCCUGAUGCAGCAACGCCGCGUGCGGGAUGACGGCCUUCGGGUUGUAAACCGCUUUCGCCUGUGACGAAGCGUGAGUGACGGUAAUGGGUAAAGAAGCACCGGCUAACUACGUG